rnacentral:miRNA from 1 species
UAUCGACGUUGAAUGUUUAUGACGUUGAUAUUCAACGUCAUAAACAUCUAAUUUGAAUGUUUACGACGUUGAAUAUCAACGUCAUAAACAUGUAAG